AGCGGAGUAGCGCAGAGGAAGCGCGCUGGGCUCAUAACCCAGAGGUCGGUGGAUCGAAACCACUCUCCGCUA